AUUGAACGCUGGCGGCAGGCCUAACACAUGCAAGUCGAGCGAGAAAGGUCUUCGGACUGAGUACAGCGGCGGACGGGUGAGUAAUGCGCAGGAAUCUACCUGGUAGUGGGGGGAUAACUCGGGGAAACUCGAACUAAUACCGCAUACGCCUACGGGGAAAGGCGGGGGACCGUUCGGGCCGUCGCGCUAUCAGAUGAGCCUGCGUAGGAUUAGCUUGUUGGUGAGGUAAAGGCUCACCAAGGCGACGAUCCUUAGCUGGUCUGAGAGGAUGAUCAGCCACACUGGAACUGAGACACGGUCCAGACUCCUACGGGAGGCAGCAGUGGGGAAUCUUGCGCAAUGGGCGAAAGCCUGACGCAGCAACGCCGCGUGAGUGAUGAAGGCCCUCGGGUCGUAAAGCUCUGUCCUGGGAGAAGAAUUUUGACGGUAUCCCAGAAGAAAGCACCGGCUAACUCCGUGCCAGCAGCCGCGGUAAUGUGACU
rnacentral:rRNA from 1 species